ACGCUCGACACCUACGGUAGGCAGCAGUGGGGAAUAUUGCACAAUGGGGGAAACCCUGAUGCAGCGACGCCGCGUGAAGGAAGAAGUAUCUCGGUAUGUAAACUUCUAUCAGCAGGGAAGAAAAUGACGGUACCUGACUAAGAAGCCCCGGCUAACUACGUGCCAACAGCCGCGGUAAUCUGAGCGGGCUGGCAAGGC
rnacentral:rRNA from 1 species